rnacentral:rRNA from 1 species
UACGGAAGGCAGCAGUGGGGAAUAUUGCACAAUGGGCGCAAGCCUGAUGCAGCCAUGCCGCGUGUAUGAAGAAGGCCUUCGGGUUGUAAAGUACUUUCAGUCGUGAGGAAGGUGUUAAGGUUAAUAACCUUAGCAAUUGACGUUAGCGACAGAAGAAGCACCGGCUAACUCCGUGCCAGCAGCCGCGGUAAUACGGAGGGUGCGAGCGUUAAUCGGAAUUACUGGGCGUAAAGGGCACGCAGGCGGUUAAUUAAGUUGGAUGUGAAAUCCCCGGGCUUAACCUGGGAAUGGCAUUCAAGACUGGUUAGCUAGAGUCUUGUAGAGGGGGUAGAAUUCCAUGUGUAGCGGUGAAAUGCGUAGAGAUGUGGAGGAAUACCGGUGGCGAAGGCGGCCCCUGGACAAAGACUGACGCUCAUGUGCGAAAAGCGUGGGGAGCAAAACAGGGAUUAGAUACC